rnacentral:rRNA from 5 species
GGACCAAGGAGUCUAGCAUGUGCGCGAGUCAUUGGGACUCUAACGAAACCUAAAGGCGUAAUGAAAGUGAAGGCCCGUCUUGCGCGGGCCGAGGGAGGAUGGGUGUCCCCGAGGGGACGCCUCGCACUCCCAGGGCGUCUCGUUCUCAUUGCGAGAAGAGGCGCACCAAGAGCGUACACGCUGGGACCCGAAAGAUGGUGAACUAUGCCUGGUCAGGACGAAGUCAGGGGAAACCCUGAUGGAGGUCCGUAGCGAUUCUGACGUGCAAAUCGAUCGUCGGAACUGGGUAUAGGGGCGAAAGACUAAUCGAACCAUCUAGUAGCUGGUUCCCUCCGAAGUUUCCCUCAGGAUAGCUGGCGCUCGCUUCUCGCGAGUCUCAUUCGGUAAAGCGAAUGAUUAGAGGCAUUGGGGUCGAAACGGCCUCAACCUAUUCUCAAACUUUAAAUGGGUGAGAUCUCCGGCUUGCUUGAACUGUGAAGCCGCGAGAUAUCGGAUCAGAGUGCCAAGUGGGCCACUUUUGGUAAGCAGAACUGGCGCUGUGGGAUGAACCAAACGCUGAGUUAAAGCGCCUAAAUCGACGCUUAUGGGAUACCAUGAAAGGCGUUGGUAACUUAAGACAGCAGGACGGUGGCCAUGGAAGUCGGA